rnacentral:rRNA from 1 species
AAUAGAUACCCCGGUAGUCCACGCCGUAAACGUUGGGCGCUAGGUGUGGGGCUCAUUCCACGAGUUCCGUGCCGCAGCUAACGCAUUAAGCGCCCCGCCUGGGGAGUACGGCCGCAAGGCUAAAACUCAAAGGAAUUGACGGGGGCCCGCACAAGCGGCGGAGCAUGCGGAUUAAUUCGAUGCAACGCGAAGAACCUUACCAGGGCUUGACAUAUACCGGAAACACCCAGAGAUGGGUGCCCCGCAAGGUCGGUAUACAGGUGGUGCAUGGUUGUCGUCAGCUCGUGUCGUGAGAUGUUGGGUUAAGUCCCGCAACGAGCGCAACCCUCGUUCUAUGUUGCCAGCACGUUAUGGUGGGGACUCAUAGAAGACUGCCGGGGUCAACUCGGAGGAAGGUGGGGAUGACGUCAAAUCAUCAUGCCCCUUAUGUCCUGGGCUUCACGCAUGCUACAAUGGCCAGUACAAAGGGCUGCGAUACCGCGAGGUGGAGCGAAUCCCAAAAAACUGGUCUCAGUUCGGAUUGGGGUCUGCAACUCG